rnacentral:rRNA from 1 species
AUUGCACGCUGGCGGCAGGCCUAACACAUGCAAGUCGAACGAGUGGCGGACGGGUGAGUAAUGUCUGGGAAACUGCCUGAUGGAGGGGGAUAACUACUGGAAACGGUAGCUAAUACCGCAUACCAUCAGAUGUGCCCAUAUGGGAUUGGCUAGUUGGUGGGGUAACGGCUCACCAGGGCGACGAUCCCUCGCUGGUCUGAGAGGAUGACCAGCCACACUGGAAUUGAGACACGGUCCAGACUCGUACGGGAGGCAUCAGGGGGUAAUAUUGCACAAUGGGCGCAAGCCUGAUGCAGCCAUGCCGCGGGUAUGAAGAGGGCCUUCGGGUUGUAAAGUACUUUCAGCGGGGGGGCGUUACCCGCAGAAGAGGCACCGGCUAACUCCGUGCAAGCCGCCGCGGUAAUUC